UGACCCCAUGCCCUGGAUUACCGUAGCUCUAGGCUGUUGGAGCAGGAGAAUCGAGCUCAGUCUUCUCACAGCCUAUGGAGGUGCUGACUCCCUGUUUGGUGGAGAGCGAUGGGCAUGUGUGUGUGGGUGGAGGGGGAGAUAAGGAGAAGGUUCUAUUUCCAGCAAGAACAAGAUGUUUCUUCCACCAGAAUUAGCACAAGACAGCCCGAGCCCAGCCAAGGCUGGAAACUUCAGCGAACAAAGAUUUUAAUGAGCAGAAAGCUGAAGACCUGAACUGAUCUUAAAACUUCUACUGUGGUGCCCUUCAAACCAUUCUCCACACUUCAGCAAGAAGGAUCCUAUAAAAACCCAAAUGUUAUCCCCAUAUCCUUACUCUACUUAAAACUUCACUUUUCUCAGAACAUAGCCCCAUCAUGAAGCAACGCAUGACUCUGUGUGUGUGUGUGUGUGUAGAUAAAUGAAGCAAAAGUAUGAUUUGAUUUGAAUGAUUAGGAAAAGUUGCACCAUUUUCAGUGUCUUUAAUUUUUCUUUCUCCUUUGACGCUUGAGGCCUUAAGGAGAACAUCUUUUCUAAUUGUUUCUGACGUACUAUAUGAUGUUUAUAAUAGUCUCUUAUUAAUUAAAUGCAGGUCUCAGCCGUAUACGCGGCUCACCACGACUGAGUCUGCACACUGGAAAGCGCUGAGCACAGGGUC
rnacentral:lncRNA from 1 species